GUCUUCGUGGUGCAAUGGUCAGCCCACUCGACGCGUAAUCGAGAGGUCCGAGGUUCGAAUCCCCGGCUAGAACA
rnacentral:tRNA from 1 species